rnacentral:rRNA from 1 species
CUAAUACCGCAUAAGCCCACGGCUCGGCAUCGAGCAGAGGGAAAAGGAGCAAUCCGCUUUGAGAUGGCCUCGCGUCCGAUUAGCUAGUUGGUGAGGUAACGGCCCACCAAGGCGACGAUCGGUAGCCGGACUGAGAGGUUGAACGGCCACAUUGGGACUGAGACACGGCCCAGACUCCUACGGGAGGCAGCAGUGGGGAAUAUUGCACAAUGGGGGAAACCCUGAUGCAGCGACGCCGCGUGGAGGAAGAAGGUCUUCGGAUUGUAAACUCCUGUUGUUGGGGAAGAUAAUGACGGUACCCAACAAGGAAGUGACGGCUAACUACGUGCCAGCAGCCGCGGUAAAACGUAGGUCACAAGCGUUGUCCGGAAUUACUGGGUGUAAAGGGAGCGCAGGCGGGAAGACAAGUUGGAAGUGAAAUCUAUGGGCUCAACCCAUAAACUGCUUUCAAAACUGUUUUUCUUGAGUAGUGCAGAGGUAGGCGGAAUUCCCGGUGUAGCGGUGGAAUGCGUAGAUAUCGGGAGGAACACCAGUGGCGAAGGCGGCCUACUGGGCACCAACUGACGCUGAGGCUCGAAAGUGUGGGUAGCAAACAGGAUUAGAUACCCUGGUAGUCCACACUGUAAAC